rnacentral:misc_RNA from 1 species
UGGGGAUUAGGGUUUUCUCUCUUCAUGUAUACAUCGAUUUGAUCGAUGGAAAUGGAUUACGUAACGGAAUAUCCACAUUCCUACAUGGAUCGUCGUCCUAAGAAACGUCCAAGACUAGAUUGGGAUCCUUCACAUACUCCCAAGGCUCAGUCAGGAAUUUAUUAUGGGCAAGAGGUUGGCAAUUCAUCGAGCUAUGUGCAUUCAAGAUUACUACCCGAUCAUGAUAAUUUAUAUGUAAAAGGACUGGCUCAAAAAGGCUCUCCUCCACGGCGAGAAGAUGACAAAGAUGGACAUUACUUGUUUGAGCUUGG